CGGGUGUAGUUCAGUGGUAGAAUAUCAGCCUUCCAAGCUGACUAUGCGGGUUCGAUUCCCGUCACCC
rnacentral:tRNA from 1 species